GACGAACGCUGGCGGCGUGCUUAACACAUGCAAGUCGAACGGAAAGGCCCUGCUUUUGUGGGGUGCUCGAGUGGCGAACGGGUGAGUAACACGUGAGUAACCUGCCCUUGACUUUGGGAUAACUUCAGGAAACUGGGGCUAAUACCGGAUAGGAGCUCCUGCUGCAUGGUGGGGGUUGGAAAGUUUCGGCGGUUGGGGAUGGACUCGCGGCUUAUCAGCUUGUUGGUGGGGUAGUGGCUUACCAAGGCUUUGACGGGUAGCCGGCCUGAGAGGGUGACCGGCCACAUUGGGACUGAGAGACGACCCAGACUCCUACGGGAGGCAGCAGUGGGGAAUAUUGCACAAUGGGCGGAAGCCUGAGGCAGCAACGCCGCGUGCGGGAUGACGGCCUUCGGGUUGUAAACCGCUUUCGCCUGUGACGAAGCGUGAGUGACGGUAAUGGGUAAAGAAGCACCGGCUAACUACGUG
rnacentral:rRNA from 1 species